AGCGCGGCCAGCAAAAUGGCGGCCGCGUCAAUCAUGUCUCCCACAUUGCAACUGCCGGCGAGUGCAAAGAAACAUUGGAGUUUGACUUCAUUUACCUCACAGAGGCACACACGGACGACACCAUUAUUCUUGCUGAAUAUUUCACAAGGAACAAAUGAUGCUGGUGUUCUAGUGGUGGGCAAGUGAAGCCUCAUGAAGAACUGAGGCUUUCCUAACAAUUGUGCUGAAAAAGAUUCAAAGCUUCAGUGACUGUGACAUCUGGUGGACAACUGAAGCCAUAGCAACUUCUAAAGAGCACGAGUGAAGCAUUGGCACCGUUUCCCAUGACAGCAAUAAAAGUUCUGAAAAGUC